rnacentral:misc_RNA from 1 species
UUGUGGAGGAGGACGCCGAAGGUGGGGCUAAUGACUGGGGUGAAGUCGUAACAAGGUAGCCGUACCGGAAGGUGCGGCUGGAUCACCUCCUAACAGGGAGACAACAAAAUGUUUAAUAUUAUUAUUUUGUCACCUUAGGUCGAUCGGUACCUCACGUUUUUAAUUUAUUAAGAACUUCAUUUCCUAAGUUUUUCUAGGUCACACCCAUUAUUUUUCCUGGGCCAUUAGCUCAGGUGGUUAGAGCGCACCCCUGAUAAGGGUGAGGUCCCUGGUUCAAGUCCAGGAUGGCCCAUAUCUCUAUGUUGGGGGUAUAGCUCAGUUGGUAGAGCGCCUGCUUUGCAAGCAGGAUGUCAGCGGUUCGAGUCCGCUUACCUCCACUGAUUACCACCUCUUCCAUAAAAUCUAGAAGGGAAUUGUUUUGAGUUGUGAUCUCUUUCUGAACGAAUCUAGCUUCCUAAUGCAACAAUUAAGAUGCUGGACUCAUUGAAUUAAUUUCAUUGUUUUCAGAGAACCUUGACAACUGCAUAGAUUAUUUUUAAAGACAAUAAGCAUCUUUGAAUGAUGCAGAUUUAUUAUUUGUGCGAAUGCAUUAAUAACAAUUCUAUUAAGCUGAUGCUUCAAUUUUGAAGUUAUUGGUCAAGCUACAA